GUCAGCGGUUUAGAAAGACUGAUUUACGGCGUACGUGAUUCAUAGCGUUGAGGGACAACGUCGGGGGUAAAGGAUUUACAUAGACAAGACUAGCGCGGGAGACAAUUCUACGAAACAUGGAGGAAACAGGUCCAAUAAAAGAGAACUGAGAUCGAGACGGGCAACGCUUGCCGUGGCGUGUCCGAGAAACUGGCUAGCCUUUCUGGUGCCAUGGAUUUCCCUCCAUCCCAUCAUUUGCCAAGGAGAGGAUGAAAUAUGACAGACGAGGCGUAAUAAUAUGAUGAGAUCUUGCUUCGGCUGUGGUCUGCCAGAAUGUAAACGAGACCCUUUGACCACAAAACCGUGGCCGGAGGGCCGAAGACGAGAUGAGUAAUGACCACUGGCCUGCAGAGAGUAGACUGGCCACUGGACGGCCUUUUGAACGGUUGGACUGACAAAGCAACAUCGAUGUCUGGCUUGCCUUGCAAAAGAUACUGUGAACAGUCAGUGCUAAAUUACGAAGAGACAAGUAAAUUGAAUAGCCAGAACUCGCUAGACCAACUUGGCAAUUCAUUUACUGACCUGUCGUUGUAUAUAAGAAAAUAAUAUACUAGUAGCUACGUAUACUGACAGUACUAGUUUCCUGUAUUUGUCGGAAAUGACGUUUGGAGAUCAAACGUUUUCUUACUACAUAUUUUAUUACGACAAUGCUGAUUCAAGACCAAAUCGAUUACAACAAUACAUACACCAACAUAUAUUGAUCAAACAGAUGGUCGCGUGACGUAAUGUCGGUAUGUUUAUAGUGUUAGAUGUAGAGGAGCGAGUAGGGGUUUAAGGAGCAUAGCAACGAGGGCAUGUCUAUUCGUCUCCAAAGAAUGUAAGAGUUAUGAAUAGGUUUGUGAGAUGAAACGCAUGUGUAUACAUGUACAUGCAAUGAAACGGGUUUCUUUAGGAAUAUAUAUGGUGAAAUGUGAAGAGAGGACACGUGAAGACAUAUUAUCAUCAUAACUGACUUGACAAAAUGAGACGGUAGCGGUUCAUUCAGACACACAUCGAUGCAGACCUUACCAUAUAUAUAUAUAUAUAUACCUAACAAUAAUCUGCUACACAAAACCAAAUGUGUACGAAUUAAACUCUUUGUCAUCAAACAUCACGUCAUUGUCACAGGAACAGAUAUUUUUAUAGAGAGGGGUCAUCUUUCCAGGAAUAGAUUCUAGUUAUGUUGCAGUUAAUUCGGGAAACGGAUUAAAUGCACAUAUAUACAUAUCCUUCUCACUGUGGUGAGGACCAAAUUAUUGGCGUUUUCUUGAACGGAUCAUUAAGUUGGGAAUGGAUUUGAAAGUGUAUAUUGACUAUCGUUUUAUUCCAAACUGACAUGGCCCCCGUUCCAGAAAGCUAUCUUAGCGCUACGGCUGUACGUCUGUGUUAAACUAUGGGAACACACCUCAGAUCUCAGAAAAAAAAGAUUAAAAUGUGCAAAUUAUAUCGAACUUGAUGUAAUUAUACACGUAUACCUGCCACAGCGCACGUAACAAAGAUUCCUCGUGUAUAUAAUUUCCAGUUGAAAUAUUCAUUUGUUCAAAUAUGAACCAUAAAUAAGAUAUACAACUGUGUUACGCAAUUCACAAACACUACAAAGGAGGUUUCUCACAGCUGGUUAUAUAUCAAAGUACAUUACAAAAUGAAUUGUAGAAAUUAUAAUACUUAUAACAAAAAAUAUCAAUUUGUGAACGUAUAUAAAAGCAAAUAGAGAAAUUACUGAAUCGUCAAUUUCAAAAUCCAAUACAAAAGCCUCAAAGAAAACUGUAAUUUCACAUAUUUCAGUUUAAGUUAACAAUUCUACAUACAACUGUCAUAUCCAACAAAACUGGUAUUGUUGUCAACCAUGACACGUAAUAAAUCUUGAAUUGAUUUACAAAUUGUGGAACGGCUGUCCCGCGGAACAAAGCCAUUCCUAUGGGCAUAAAGAUAAUAGGCUUGGAUAGUGAACUAAGUCAUAAACUUGACCCAACUGGGAAGCAGAGGGAAGUCGAUUUUAUGAACCAAGGCUUCUGAAUUUUCUACAAGCUAAUAAAGGUCAGGGAAUACCAAGUAAGGAGUCAAGGUGAGACCUGGUGGGAACCAAGCAUUUCCAACAUGGAAAUGGUUUAAAGAAUCGUUAAAAUCAAUCACAUAUGAACUGCCGAAGCAGGCAAAAUAUUGGUCCGCCCCCAGUAGCAGAUGUAGAUGUUUUCAGGUAUGGGUUUAUUGUUGCAGUAUAUUUCUCUUUUACGGGGGUCUAUUCCACGGGACAUUUGCGGUCAUUCCACGCGACGUUUUGAUACACUUUAAAGUCAGCUUUAUGAGAAGUACAGCCAAUAAAAGUAAUUGUCUCAGUGGAGAGAAACUUUGAGAAGCAUAGCUGGAAGUAGCAAACUCACAGUUAUUCAAAUCGGCGUCGAUUAUAUUGAUAUAAUUUACAUGAUUAUACACAGGGUGUACAUGAAAAGAACAUUAUGUUUGUAAUACUUUUUGUAGGUGUUCUUAUAGACUAACAUAUAGUCUCUGAAAUGAACAUAUCGUACAGAAAAAAACAGUUGUUCAGUUAUCUUAAUAAAAAUAUAGUAAAAGGGAGCCCAGUGACUCUUCAUUUUCAGAUACUGCAGUAAUCUAGACUUGCCAAACAUUAUAGACUUGCAUGGGCUGUAGUUGAUAUAAAUGUAUCAGGGUCUGUAAGACAGACUAGUGUUCUUAAUGCAAGUUAACAUAUUUCACAAAUCAAACUCAUUACAAUGUUCAAUACUUAAACAUCUCUAUAAUAAAUGUAUAUAAAAAUUACGAUGUGAUACAAAGAUAUAUAAUUAGAUAAUUCUUCUUUUACAGGCUGUUUACGAAGCUAAUUAAUGUUUGGAAACGUUAUGUAAUUGUUAUAAUAUCUUUAUGAGAUCUCCGUUUACACCAUUACAGAUGUUGCAUGUGCACAUACGAGGUGUGAUUUCUUUACUCAAUGUGACAAAUUGUGGGGUUGAAUCAUCACUCGGUGUGUAGUUUAAUUCGACGCAAAGCAUGUUGUUAUAAUUUCAGCAAAAAUAAUUAUUGUAUUAUGUGACAAAUAUUGAUUUUUGUGCCAUGUGACAACGCGGUUAUGAGAGUUAUCAGAUUUUGAAAUAUAUUAUGAUAGUUUGAUAAUACUCCGAGCUGGUACAUUGCGGGGUCAUAGAUGUUAUCAUGAAUAAACAGUUACUGCACAUGCGCAGGCCACACA